UGCUCGAGUGGCGAACGGGUGAGUAACACGUGAGUAACCUGCCCUUGACUUUGGGAUAACUUCAGGAAACUGGGGCUAAUACCGGAUAGGAGCUCCUGCUGCAUGGUGGGGGUUGGAAAGUUUCGGCGGUUGGGGAUGGACUCGCGGCUUAUCAGCUUGUUGGUGGGGUAGUGGCUUACCAAGGCUUUGACGGGUAGCCGGCCUGAGAGGGUGACCGGCCACAUUGGGACUGAGAUACGGCCCAG
rnacentral:rRNA from 2 species